CCUACGGGAGGCAGCAGUGAGGAAUAUUGGUCAAUGGGCGAGAGCCUGAAGCAGCCAAGUCGCGUGAAGGAUGACGGCCCUACGGGUUGUAAACUUCUUUUGUCAGGGAGCAAUUGGGUCCACGCGUUGGCUUAGCGAGCGUACCUGAAGGAAAAGCAUCGGCUAACUCCGUGCCAGCAGCCGCGGUAAUACGGAGGAUGCGAGUGUUAUCGGAAUUUAUUGGGUUUAAAGGGUGAGUUGGCGGAAUCGCAAUUCAGCGGGAAAAAUUCGGGGCUCAACUCCGUCGUGCAGUUGAAACUGAUGUUCUUGAGUGGGCGAGAGGUAUGCGGAAUGCGUGGUGUAGCGGUGAAAUGCAUAGAUAUCACGCAGAACACC
rnacentral:rRNA from 1 species